GGAAAGCUGUGGCUAGGUGGUAGAGCAUCAGCUUGGCAUGCAGAAGGCCCCAGGUUCAAUUCCUAAUAUCUCCA
rnacentral:tRNA from 1 species